rnacentral:rRNA from 1 species
AUACGGAGGGUGCAAGCGUUAAUCGGAAUUACUGGGCGUAAAGCGCACGCAGGCGGUUAAUUAAGUUAGAUGUGAAAUCCCCGGGCUUAACCUGGGAAUGGCAUCUAAAACUGGUUAGCUAGAGUCUUGUAGAGGGGGGUAGAAUUCCAUGUGUAGCGGUGAAAUGCGUAGAGAUGUGGAGGAAUACCGGUGGCGAAGGCGGCCCCCUGGACAAAGACUGACGCUCAGGUGCGAAAGCGUGGGGAGC